UACGGAGGGGGCUAGCGUUGUUCGGAAUUACUGGGCGUAAAGCGCGCGUAGGCGGCUUUGUAAGUUAGAGGUGAAAGCCCGGAGCUCAACUCCGGAACUGCCUUUAAGACUGCAAAUCUCGAGUCCGGAAGAGGUGAGUGGAAUUCCUAGUGUAGAGGUGAAAUUCGUAGAUAUUAGGAAGAACACCAGUGGCGAAGGCGGCUCACUGGUCCGGUACUGACGCUGAGGUGCGAAAGCGUGGGGAGCAAACAGG
rnacentral:rRNA from 1 species